rnacentral:rRNA from 1 species
ACACGACUACAUUAGAUACCCGCGUAGUCCUAGCCGUAAACGAUACUCGCUAGGUGUCGGCCACGGUGCGACCGUUGUCGGUGCCGUAGGGUAGCCGUUAAACUCGCUGCCUGGGGAGUACGGUCGCAAGGCUGAAACUUAAAGGAAUUGGCGGGGGAGCACCACAACGGGUGGAGCUUGCGGUUUAAUUGGAUUCAACGCCGGAAAUCUUACCGGGACCGACAGCAACAUGAAGGCCAGGCUGAAGACUUUGCCGGAUUAGCUG